rnacentral:siRNA from 1 species
GGCAACUAAUCAUUGGUUGUG